rnacentral:rRNA from 1 species
AUACAUGCAAGUCGAGCGGACAGAUGGGAGCUUGCUCCCUGAUGUUAGCGGCGGACGGGUGAGUAACACGUGGGUAACCUGCCUGUAAGACUGGGAUAACUCCGGGAAACCGGGGCUAAUACCGGAUGCUUGAUUGAACCGCAUGGUUCAAUUAUAAAAGGUGGCUUUUAGCUACCACUUACAGAUGGACCCGCGGCGCAUUAGCUAGUUGGUGAGGUAACGGCUCACCAAGGCAACGAUGCGUAGCCAACCUGAGAGGGUGAUCGGCCACACUGGGACUGAGACACGGCCCAAACUCCUACGGGAGGCAGCAGUAGGGAAUCUUCCGCAAUGGACGAAAGUCUGACGGAGCAACGCCCCGUGAGUGAUGAAGGUUUUCGGAUCGUAAAACUCUGUUGUUAGGGAAGAACAAGUACCGUUCGAAUAGGGCGGUACCUUGACGGUACCUAACCAGAAGGCCACGGCUAACUACGUGCCAGCAGCCGCGGUAAUACGUAGGUGGCAAGCGUUGUCCGGAAUUAUUGGGCGUAAAGCGCGCGCAGGCGGUUUCUUAAGUCUGAUGUGAAAGCCCCCGGCUCAACCGGGGAGGGUCAUUGGAAACUGGGGAACUUGAGUGCAGAAGAGGAGAGUGGAAUUCCACGUGUAGCGUUGAAAUGCGUAGAGAUGUGGAGGAACACCAGUGGCGAAGGCGACUCUCUGGUCUGUAACUGACGCUAAGGCGCGAAAGCGUGGGGAGCGAACAGGAUUAGAUACCCUGGUAGUCCACGCCGUAAACGAUGAGUGCUAAGUGUUAGAGGGUUUCCGCCCUUUAGUGCUGCAGCAAACGCAUUAAGCACUCCGCCGGGGGAGUACGGUCGCAAGACUGAAACUCAAAGGAAUUGACGGGGGCCCGCACAAGCGGUGGAGCAUGUGGUUUAAUUCGAAGCAACGCGAAGAACCUUACCAGGUCUUGACAUCCUCUGACAACCCUAGAGAUAGGGCUUCCCCUUCGGGGGCAGAGUGACAGGUGGUGCAUGGUUGUCGUCAGCUCGUGUCGUGAGAUGUUGGGUUAAGUCCCGCAACGAGCGCAACCCUUGAUCUUAGUUGCCAGCAUUCAGUUGGGCACUCUAAGGUGACUGCCGGUGACAAACCGGAGGAAGGUGGG